UUUCUACUCCCUCCGUCCGAAAAUACUUGUCAUCAAAAUGGAUAAAAGUAGAUGUAUCUAAAACUAAAAUACGUCUAGAUACAUUUCCUUUUAUCCAUUUUGAUGACAAGUAUUUCUGGACGGAGGGAGUAUUUG
rnacentral:pre_miRNA from 1 species